UCAGAAGAUGUGGUUAAUCACUCUCUCAUCCACAGGCAGACAGGAAAGCCUUGCUGAAGCGAUAAGGGAAAUCGAGGGAGUGUUCCCCAUCACUAGAAGACAGGCUGCUGGCUCCCACAGUGCAACAGUCACUUCACAACCACCGAGGACAUUUGCAGUUGAGGAGGUUCCAACGUUAACUGGAUGGUGGGCGUCCUCCUAAACCUUCCUCCUUGAUCAGUGUGACACUCAGGAGUCUUCCGGGGUUUGUUUCAGCCUCUCUACCCCCACCUCUCUCUCCGACCCCGUGUCCGCCUCUCUGAGGCGGGUGAGAAGCAGACAGAGGCGGGGUGCCUCUUGCCUCACCCCACAGCGCCCCCUGGGAAUGACCUUCCUCGGGACCAGGAGCAGCAGGGCGCCCUACUGGUGUCAGGGAUUCCGUGGACUAGGGUUUCUCUGGUCUCGCGGGGCUCUCUAAAGUGUUAUAUGUUCUUUUUCGUAAAUCAAAGAGGGACAAUAAAAGAGAGAGAGGGGGCAAGAGGGAUAAAAGGAGCAUGCGGUAGCCUGGGUGGUAGUACAUUCUUUGUUUUCUUUUUUUUUCUUUUGAGAGGAUGCUUUAUGGAUUUUAUUCUAAAGGAAUGAUAUUAAAUAUUGUUUUGUGGUUUAUAAUUCACUUUAGAUGUUCUAUAUCAAAAAAUUGCUUUUUUACUUAAAUAAGGAAACAAAAUUGUUCAAAGUGAAAAAAUUAAUUAUGUAAUAAUGGGAAAUUAAUCUGUACAUAUUAACUUGCUUCCUUAUCAAUUCUCCUUCCAGAAUGUGUUCCUUUGACAAAUGUCCAUAACCGUCUCAGCAGAUUUUAUUU